rnacentral:rRNA from 1 species
AGAUAUAUCCCACUACGCCAUUAGAUGGAUGACUUGGUUCAAGACAGAGAUGAAGGGCGUGGCAAGCUACGAAAUGCCUUGGGUAGGUGCAUGCAGCCUUUGAUCCAAGGAUCCCUGAAUGGGACUUCCCAUUUAGUCCGAAAGGGCGUCAAACGCGGGGAAUUGAAGCGUCUUAGUACCCGCAGGAAAAGAAAUCAAAUCGAGAUGCUGUUAGUAAGAGCGACCGAACACAGCAAAAGGCAAACCGAAUCCUUGUAGAAAUACAAAGGAGAUGUGGGGUUAUAGGACCUACUUUCGACCUUCGUCAGAUGAUUCGAGGUUUUCUGGAAAGAAAUACCACAGAGGGUGAUAGUCCCGUAGAAGAAAUCUGGAAAGGUUUGUAGGUAUCCUGAGUACCGUAUCUUGGAUAUGAUGCGGGAAUUUGGGAGGCAUCAACUUCCAACCUUAAAUAUGUUUUGAGUCCGAUAGAGUAUAGUACCGUGAGGGAACGUUGCAAAGAACCCGUAAUAGGGUGUGAAAAGAGCCUGAAAUCUAAUGGUUAUUGUCAGAUACGGCCCUUUGGGGUUGUAUCGUACGUUUCGAAUAACGGGCCAGGGAGUGUGCUUUUGUGGCGAGGGUAAGGAUGUUUCCAUCUGUACUCGAAGGGAAACCAAAUUGCCUGCAGUUUACGAGAGGCGAGGUAUGAAAAUGCCUGAAGUCACAGGGGUACGACCAGAAACCGGACGAUCUAAUCCUGAGCAGGGUGAAGCGAGAGUUACUCCUCGUGGAGGCCCGAAGCGGUGCUGCGUGCAUGCGUUCGUGUGAUUUGGGAUUAGGGGUGAAAAGCCAAUCGAGUUCGGUGAUAGCUGGUUCCUGCCGAAAUAGGCCGCAGUCUAGUCUCAACUGAGAUUGCAAAGGUGGUAGAGCCACGGAUUAGGAGGUUAGGGGGAGAAAUCCCUCGCUUUCUUGUUCAACUCCGAAUGUCUUUGCGUCGUAGACGUUGGGAAACAGGUUUACGCGGUAAGCGUGUACUCCUAGAGGGGAACAUCCCAGACUGAAGUUAAGGUCCCAAAAUAUUGGUUAAGUGUUAACGGGUGAAAGGUGUGUACAAGCAUAGACAGCUGGGAGGUUUGCUUAGAAGCAGCAAUCCUUUAAAGAAAGCGUAAUAGCUCACCAGUCUAGGUUGUAUGCCCUGAAAAUGGACGGGGCUAAACCGAUUACCGAUACUUCAGACGAGCUAAGAGCUUGGUGGUAGGCAGGCGUACUGUGUGGGUAGAAGCUUUUUCGUAAGAAGGAGUGGACCACAUUGUAAUGAGAAUCCUGGCGGUAGUAGGAUCUAAAUAGGGUGAGACUCCCUAAUACCUAAAGACUAAGGGUUUCUUAGCAAUGUAGAUCAGCUAAGAGUAAGUCGGUCCUAACCGUGCUCCUAACUGGACGCUCGGGAAAGGGAAACAGGUUAAGAUUCCUGUACUUUUGGGGUACGUGUGGUAACACAAGCUUGUCUUCUGACGCUUUGGGCUAGGCUGUCAGUCGUCGUCGCGACUGCUAAGCAUUAUAGUUCCAGGGAGUGUCGUUAUGACGAGAACUGGAAUAAGGUGUGAUGGGCGGGCUUUAUGUUCGUAUGGCUUUUGCCUAGAGCCCGUGAAAAGGAAGCAAGAAGGAUCCCCAGAACCCGUACCCAGAACCAGCACUGGUAGUCUAGGUGAGAAGCCUACGGUAUGAGGGUUUAAUCCAAUCCAGGGAAAUCGGCAAAUUAGCCCCGUGCCUUCGGCAUAAGGGGUCCCUGCGAUCGUGGCCUUAUGGUUGGCGAUUACAGGGCGCAGUGACUAAGGUGGUCCGACUGUUUAAUAAAAACGUAACUAUCUGCUAGCCGGUAACGGUGUGUAUAGGUAGUGACGUCUGCCCAGUGCCAGUACUUUAAACUCCAUUUCAAUGGUGCUAAGAGCUGGUAAACGGCGGGAAUAACUAUAAUUCUCUUAAGGUAGCGUAAUACCUUGUCGUUUGAUUGACGACUUGCAUGAAUGGCGUAACGAGAUCGCCACUGUCCCGGGUUGGAGUCCCCCGAACACGCUUUCCUGGUGCAAAGGCCAGGGAUCUCCAGUGGGAAGCGAAGACCCCGUAGAACUUUACUGCAACUUGUAGCUGUGGUGUGGGGCCAGAUGUGCAGGAUAGGUGGAAGUUGCUUGAGGCCUUGACGCAAGUUAAGGUUUAGACAACCUUGAGAUACCACCCUUCUGACUUUACAUCACUUACCUGAGAAAUCGGGAACACCUGCAGGCGGGCAGUUUGGCUGGGGCGGCACCCCGCUGAAAUGGUAUCAGUGGGGCCCAAAGGUAAGCUCAUCCGGUUUAGAAAUCCGGAGUUGAGUGCAAGAGCAAAAGCUUGCCUGACUGUGUUCUAAAUACUACAGAACGCAGAGACGAAAGUCCGGUCUAGCGAACUUCUAUGUCCUCAUUGAUGGGGGCUAGACAUGACAGAAAAGCUAUCUCGGGGAUAAUUGAGUCGUAGCGCCUAAGAGCUCAAAUCGACGGCGCUGCUUGCUACUUCGAUGUCGGCUCUUCCUAUCCUGGGCGUGCAGAAGCGCCCAAGGGUGAAGGUGUUCACUUAUUAAAAGGGAUCGUGAGCUGGGUUAAGUACGUUGUGAGACAGUAUGUAUGAUAUCUACUGGAGAUGUGGAAGUGUCUGAGAGGAAGGAUCCUUUAGUACGAGAGGAACAAGGAUUCGACGCCUCUGGUGUAUCGGUUGUCUGACAAGGCAGGCCGAGCAGCUACGCGUUAAGGGAUAAGUCCUGAAAGCAUCUAAGGACGAAACCUCCCUCGAAAAGAGACACAGAGUACGGACAGAAUAUCUGUUUGAUGGGACUGGGGUGUACGCACCGAGGUAACGAGGUGUUCAGCCUGCAGUUUCCAACAACUCGUUAUGAUAUAUCU